AUGGAGUACCUUCAACGUCUGCUCGGGGCUCUGCAACAGGCAGUGAGUUUUGCUUCCUCCUUCACCACCUACCUCCUUGGAGAUGAUCCUCAUCCAGGAGCAGAAGAUUCAAGAGAUGCGAGGGAGAGAAGGCAUGAAGGCAGCUGUCCUGACUGUGAAGUUGAGACAACACGCAACGGCACAGAUAUUUCUCCAAGGGAACAUCUGGAGAUCUUUGAAGGUCCACUUACCACAAAGGAGAUCCCACCUGACUUGGAGAUCCAAGUAACACCAGAAGCAGCUGUCCAUGGAACUCAAUCUACCGAGUCCAUUCUUGAACUUGCCAAAUUGUCCUCCAGAUAUGAGGGAUGGGAAGAGUCAAAGGAGAAGCCCUCAGAGACAUGCCGGAUCCCAGCUGAUGCCCAAGAAGAAAUGGUCACAACAACAGUGACUGGCAACGUCAAAGAGACAGACCUGAAGGGGUCAGCCCUGACUCAGGGGAUCCAUCCAUGGGAUGCAGGAAGAACUAUCUGGGCAGAUGCACCUGAGAAAGAAGUACAAGCAGAGGUGGCAGAUACAAAGUGGGAACUAGCUGGACCAUUGGCUGGAGGCAAACAUCAUGGAGAACUGAGUGAGGAAGGAGGGACCAAUGUGGGUCAGGAAAGAGAGCUGAAGGAAAAUUUGUGGAAUGAGGAGGUUUGGAAAGAGACCUCAAACUUGGCACAGUUUUUAGGGGAACAGGAGAGAGAGCGAGGGAAGACAGAACAGCCUGGAAGAUUUCAUCAUGAGGAGGUAGGCAAAAUGAUGGAAGAUCAGCACUUGAAAUCUGAGAAAUACCAGGAAGAAGAAAUCAUUAAAGAGCAGCCUGACAUGGUGGUAGUGAAAGAAGACAUUCAGCAGGCCAUGCUGGAUAAUGUAGGGACUCUGGGAGACCAGGAGGAGGCACUAGAAGAGGAAAAGGAGACAGGGAGAAGUCAUCAGUGGGAGGCAAAAGAAAAACCAGAAAUAGGAGAGGCUAGCAAAGUGGAGGAAAGAGAAGUAGAGAAAGCAGUGUGCAACAAGGGGGGUCAGGAGGGAGCAGUAGAUUGGGUCCCAUUUGUAGAGCAAUGUCAUGGAGGGGCAGAGAAGGCAGUAUGGCUGGAGGGCGUUCAGCAUGAGGUGCUGGAAGUAGCAGACGAAAUGGUGGGGAGCCAAGAAUUAGAGUCAAAGAUGGAAGAAAAAGAACUAGUAGAGGCUACAAAGGGCCAGCAGGAGGAAUUAGAUAUGUUGGCAAUGAAAGAAGGAAGUGAGCAAGCAAUGCCAGGCAGAGCAGAGAUUCCAGAGGCGUUGGAGGGUGAAGGCAAGCCAUGGCAAAGGAGCCAUCAGCGGAAGACCGGCAGGGAAUUAGAAGAAGUAGGAGAGACCAGCAGAUGGAAGAGACAGCUGGAGGGCACUUCGUGGAAGGAAGGGGUUCAGGAAGAGGCAGCAGUUCGGGCACAGUUUACAGAAGAACUGCAUGGAAGUCUACAGAAGGCAGCAUGGACAGAGGGGCUGCAGAAUAAAGAACUAGAGCAGGCAGCCAAGGCAGUGGAGAGCCUGCAGUUCGAGGCUGAAGAGAAGCAAGGGGAAAUCGUGGAGGCAGAUGAAGGCUGGCAGGGACAGCCCAAUAUUGCAGCAGAGAAAGAAGGAUUUCAGCAAACAAGGCUAUGUGGAGCAGAGAUGGAGGAGGAGGUGGAGUUAGAAGAAGAAAAAGUGGUUGGGAGGGACCAUCAGUGGGAUGUCAAAGAUGCAGGAGGAACCACAGUCUGUCGGGAGAAAGGGCCAGAGGAAGCCACGUGGGACGGAGGGGUUCAGGGUGGCUCACAGCUUCUUGAGGAAGAGCAGAGAAGGCUAGAGGGGGCAGCAUGGAAUGGAGGACUUCAGCAUGGAGUGAUGGAGGGCUGGGACAGAAUGGUGGAGAGCAAGCAGUUGGAGCUGGAGGAAGCAGAGAAAGAAGAAGCCGAGGCUGAAAAGAUCUACCAGGAGGAGCCAGAUGUGAUUGUAGAGAAAGAAGGACUUCAGCAAGCAGGGUGGAGUGAGGCAGAGACUGAGGUGGGGUGGCAGGAGGACAUGGAAGGGGAACAUGAGAUUGCAAAAUGCCAUCAGUGGGAGCUUGAAGGAAAAGCAGAAGAGCCAGAAGGGAGCGAAGUGGGGCAGGAGCAGGAGGGAUUGUCAUCAAAUAUGGAGGUUCAGCAAGAGGCGCCGUACCAGUGGCAGUUUCUAGAGGAACAGCAGAGCAGGCUAGAGGGGGCAACAAGGUCUGAAGGAUUUCAGAGUGGAGAGCUGGAGGAGCCAACCAAGAUAACAGAGAACCCACAGUUGGAGGCUGAAAAGAGAGAGGAACAAGAAGCUGAGGCAGAAGACAAAGAAGGGGUGGCAGUGAAGGAGACAGUCCAGCAAGUGAUGUUUUCUGGGGCAAAGGCUGAAAGAGAACAAAAUGAGGUGGUAGAAGGAGAGGAAGUUGGAAGGAACCACCAGCAAGAGGUAGAGGAAAUGGAGUCAUUGGAAGAUCAGGACAGGAAGCCAAAAGAAGUAGCAGACCUCAGAGAAGAUGACCAGGGAGAAUUGGAAGGGGCAGAAAAACUAGAAGGACACCAAGGGGAGGAAAUAGAGGAAUCUGAGAGAAAUAGGGUAGACAUUAAAGGAGAAGAAGAGGAGAAGCAAACAGGAGAUGCCAUUCUGGAGACUGAACAAAGGGAAGAGUUGGAUAGGCUGGCAGAAGCUCAUGGCCUUGAUGAAGAAGCGCUGGGUGAAAUUACAAGAGACCCAGAAAAGGCUGAGAGGAGUCCACAACCUGAACCUGUGACAUACAGCCCUUCCCUUGAAAAAGACCACCUGGCAGAGACUAGAGUUUUCCCAACCAAGGUCGCACCCCUGGAUACAAGUGCUCAGAAGGAACGGGUGCUGCUGCGUCGUAAGAGCUCCAUCCGACGGGCACCUAGCAUGAAAAAAGUGAGAUCGCCCACUGAGAGCUCACCUCAGGAGAUGCAAAGCGUUGAGGACACUCCACCUCCACCUCCAGCACAAGCAACAAGCAGGCCAAUCCUGAGGCAUUCUGGGUUUGGACCUAUGCACCCCAACAUGAUGGCAGAACUGCAGAUACGCCUGCGCAAACCCCAGUAACCACAAAUUCAGAGGUGUUUCUGGGGUAAAGAACAUGCAAACUCUCUCUAUCUUGAGUCAGACUGCCUUGACAAAGAUUGUGGGAGCCAAGAGAAGCACAUAAAAUUUUCCACAGAUGGGAUGGAAGAGAUUCUAGUACAAAGUGUACUACCAUGACAUUGAUAUCAAAGGUGAUUUUGACAGGAGAGUUCUGUAGCAAUGCUAAGGCAUUGCUUUUCUAUAUACAUCUGGAAGUGUAAUUAAAACAUUCAUUCCAGAGCUUAAUAUCACUCUCUUACCUGUGAAAAUCCAGUAAUGUUUGCCUCAUGGGCAAGUUUCUGCUGUAUGUUUUCUCAAAAAGAAUUCUUAUUCGGCAAAGGUCUUCCUCUAUUCCUUUUAUUAUUUGAGCCUUUCUUGUCUUUCUCUUUUAAUAUAUCUGAUAAGUUGCUUUUUGUGGCAUUCUUGAUUUGUCCCUUAGUUACAUCAAUUACCUUUCUUUAUGCUGGGACCCCACAACGCUUUAAUUACUGCUUUCCUCCUUUUAGCUACAUCUAAAAAACAAUUGUACAUUUAUUUUAAUUAUCACACUUGCAAAUUUCUGGUCAGUUUUUUAAGUUCGAAUCCACACGACGGAAUGAGCGCCCGUCGCUUGUCCCAGCUCCCGCCAACCUAGCGGUUCAAAAGCAUGCAAAUGCAAGUAGAUAAAUAGGGACCACCUCGGUGGGAAGGUAACAGCGUUCCGUGUCUAAGUCACCACAAUUGCAAAUUUUUGGUCAGUUUUUUAAAAGGCAAUGAGCAGUUACACUAUCUGCAAAGCAAUUUUAAGAGACCGAAGGCUCCCGCAAGAAGGUUAGAAUGCAGGAAUCCAGAAAUGAAGUAAGUGAAGAGGAAGGCAUGGUUUACUUUACAAGAAAGGAAGCUACUAAUUAAAGGGAUGAGAGCCCUGAAAAAUCUUAGUAAUGCUUUGGAUAUGCUGGUAUUCCAGUUGUGUUUUAAGGCAACCUCUCCACCCCCAAAGAAACAACCUGCAAAUCGGUUCUAUGGCUGAUGGAGGGUUCUUUAUACUUGCAAGUUAACAGGUAUAGUGAAAGUAUUGUGUCUUUUUCUUAAUCGGCCUGCAUGAGUGAGAAAAAAGAUAGCAAAAGUGUUGAAGAAACAAAGAGGGAAAAUCACACGCAUAAUGAACACUUGCAGGGUGUCUGAGACAGUUUGGUCUCUUUGCUUGUUUGAACACAUUGUUUCCAGCAUGCCUCUCUCAACUAGGAAAUCCUGAAAUUUCCACGGUAACUUGCUAAAUAAUGUCCAAACCAAAGGAGCUUUUUCCCCCCUUGGAUUUCCAAGCACAGAUCUUUUCCUCAUUUCCCUCUGCCCCAUUUUUCAUUUCAUUCAUCCCCUGGCCAAACGGUUCCUAGUGAUAGUAUUUUAUUCUGUUGUAACAUUUGCAAAUCCAAGUUUAUAAGUCGAUUGAGCAAAAAGCACAUGAUAGAGCCUGGUAGUCAUUUUUAAAAUUAUUGUUAUUAAUUACAGUUCCUUAGCUACAAUGGCCAGUGUUAACUUUUCCAAGCUCAUGUGCUCAUUAAUAACAGCAAGAUAUGGACUGUAUUUCCUAAGCAGAAUGUAUGACCUAGAGAGGGCAAUUUAAGCCUUCCUGCCCUCAUUUUCAACUUGCCUCCUUUCUUCACAGCUUGGUGAAUUCCUGCUCUUUAACAAAGGGUUCCAUGUGAUAAUCGAACAGAGCAAAAAGUACAUGAUAGAGCUUGGUAGUCAUUUUUAAAAUUAUUAUUAAUUACAGUUCCCCAGCUACAAUGGCCAGUGUUAACUUUUCCAAGCUCAUGUGCUCAUUAAUAACAGCAAGAUAUGGACUGUAUUUCCUAAGCAGAAUGUAUGACCUAGAGAGGGCAAUUUAAGCCUUCCUGCCCUCAUUUUCAACUUGCCUCCUUUCUUCACAGCUUGGUGAAUUCCUGCUCUUUAACAAAGGGUUCCAUGUGAUAAUCAAUAGGUUAAACAUGCUUAUCUACUUAUGUGGAUGUCCCACUUCUUGCCUAAACAUUUAUUUUUUUAAGAGGCAAAUGUUUCAUGCUUACUAUAUAGUCUCUAUUAUAUCACACACACACCCGCCCCAGAUUUUCCACUCCACUGUUUUUGGACUAGGCUUGUGUGACCAGAACUCUCUGCUAAACAAAUGGGAUUGGUAGCAAUGUAUACAGUAUGCAUAUUACAUAUCUGACUUAGUGAUGUCAGUUUCUUAGGUGGCCACCAUAGCAGUGUUCUUAUACUAACCAUGUCACAUCCAGACACCAGUGAGCAGUCAUGUUCAUUUUUAUGGCAUGAAUGCUGCCUCUAUAGGUUUUCUGGCUAGCUAGCAACUUUACUGUGCGACCGCACAAGCCCUUUUGGUGUGGGCUAGUGUGGUCUAAAUAGGAGUGCUUGACUGGAGGGGAGGAGUGAUGUGCCAUUUGGCCCAAUCCACAUAUCCAAAUGCCAUAUUGACCUCAAGUGAGCCUUCGGCAACUUCUGUUGUCAAGCUCUUAUACCAACCAUGUCACAUCCAGACACCAGUGGGCAGUCAUGUUUAUUUUUAUGGCAUGAAUGCUGCCUCUGGAGGUUUUCUGGCCAGCUAGCAACUUUACUGUGCGACUGCACAAGCCCUUUUGGUGUGGGCUGGUGUGGUCUAAAUAGGAGUGCUUGACUUGAGGGGAGGAGUGAUGUGCCAUUUGGCCCAAUCCACAUAUCCAAAUGCCAUAUUGACCUCAAGUGAGCCUUCGGCAACUUCUGUUGUCAAGUGUCAGUUGAACACUGUGCCUUUCAGUUGAACAAAUAAGUACUGUAUGUAUAAAUGAGAUAUUUCAGAUAAGCAAUACUGAUCUUCAUAAAUAAGAAAUAUUCAUAAAUUACAAAUAACUGGCCUUCUUGCUAAAUUCCUUCCAGUCUGUAUCAGAGGUUCUUUAGUUAACAUCCAGAUGUCUUGUAGGUGGUGGCAAAGCAGAAUAACUUUAUGGUGUGACAUCCUAACUGGGGAAUGAUCUCCUUAGGGGCACUGGGUCAGUGCCCACUUUGUGAUAACAUUUUAUUUCUGUUAUGUCAAUUUUCUUGUUGACAUUUGCUACUUUUAGUUUGGCUUUCAGAUACUCUUGCCAUGCAGCCUGUGAUGUUAAAUUUAUUGCGAGUUUAAAAAUUGUUAUUUUAAUAUAAUCUGUUCUUGCUUUUUCUUGAAAGCUUCAGCUGAAAAUCAGCAUUGAAAUAUUCUCAAUAAAUGGAUAAAAUAAAAGCA
ensembl:lncRNA trichohyalin-like